AGGAAUGGCCGCAGCUACCAUGCAGUCGAGCGGUAGCACAGAGAGCUUGCUCUCGGGUGACGAGCGGCGGACGGGUGAGUAAUGUCUGGGAAACUGCCUGAUGGAGGGGGAUAACUACUGGAAACGGUAGCUAAUACCGCAUAACGUCGCAAGACCAAAGUGGGGGACCUUCGGGCCUCAUGCCAUCAGAUGUGCCCAGAUGGGAUUAGCUGGUAGGUGGGGUAACGGCUCACCUAGGCGACGAUCCCUAGCUGGUCUGAGAGGAUGACCAGCCACACUGGAACUGAGACACGGUCCAGACUCCUACGGGAGGCAGCAGUGGGGAAUAUUGCACAAUGGGCGCAAGCCUGAUGCAGCCAUGCCGCGUGUGUGAAGAAGGCCUUCGGGUUGUAAAGCACUUUCAGCGGGGAGGAAGGCGGUGAGGUUAAUAACCUCAUCGAUUGACGUUACCCGCAGAAGAAGCACCGGCUAACUCCGUGCCAGCAGCCGCGGUAAUACGGAGGGUGCAAGCGUUAAUCGGAAUUACUGGGCGUAAAGCGCACGCAGGCGGUCUGUCAAGUCGGAUGUGAAAUCCCCGGGCUCAACCUGGGAACUGCAUUCGAAACUGGCAGGCUAGAGUCUUGUAGAGGGGGGUAGAAUUCCAGGUGUAGCGGUGAAAUGCGUAGAGAUCUGGAGGAAUACCGGUGGCGAAGGCGGCCCCCUGGACAAAGACUGACGCUCAGGUGCGAAAGCGUGGGGAGCAAACAGGAUUAGAUACCCUGGUAGUCCACGCUGUAAACGAUGUCGAUUUGGAGGUUGUGCCCUUGAGGCGUGGCUUCCGGAGCUAACGCGUUAAAUCGACCGCCUGGGGAGUACGGCCGCAAGGUUAAAACUCAAAUGAAUUGACGGGGGCCCGCACAAGCGGUGGAGCAUGUGGUUUAAUUCGAUGCAACGCGAAGAACCUUACCUGGUCUUGACAUCCACAGAACUUUCCAGAGAUGAUGUGCCUUCGGAACUGUGAGACAGUGCUGCAUGGCUGUCGUCAGCCUCGUGUUGUGAAAUGUUGGGUUAAGUCGC
rnacentral:rRNA from 1 species